rnacentral:lncRNA from 1 species
AUGUCCUGUAGUCAACUCAUAUGGGAGGACACUGACAAGAGUCUUACAGUUAAGGCAGGCUCAGUUCUGGGCCCUGCUCACUGUCUGUCAGCAGAGCUGUCCACGAUCCAGGUACUGAGGUCCAAGAUUUGUGUGUGUGCUCGCGCUGCCCAAAUAAUGACACGGAGUUGGAUAAGCAGUCCCCAGGAUCAGCCCACCAGAGUCAGGUCACCUAAAUCUCUUGACUCCAGCCUACUUAGCAGCAGAUAUUCCAAAACCAGAUUUGGGGUUAAGAGAACAAGAGAGACGACAAAUGGAAUCUCUCUUCUUACUGGGUGGUCAGUUCCUGCCUCCUGAGCAGAGCAGAAGUUAUUCUUCAGUGUCUAAAGGAAAGAGAGAAUCAUAAGAUAAUAAAAUGUCAAUCUGGAAAGGACCUCA